AUGAACGCUGGCGGCGUGCCUAAUACAUGCAAGUCGAGCGAACGGACGAGAAGCUUGCUUCUCUGAUGUUAGCGGCGGACGGGUGAGUAACACGUGGAUAACCUACCUAUAAGACUGGGAUAACUUCGGGAAACCGUAGCUAAUACCGGAUAAUAUUUUGAACCGCAUGGUUCAAAAGUGAAAGACGGUCUUGCUGUCACUUAUAGAUGGAUCCGCGCUGCAUUAGCUAGUUGGUAAGGUAACGGCUUACCAAGGCAACGAUGCAUAGCCGACCUGAGAGGGUGAUCGGCCACACUGGAACUGAGACACGGUCCAGACUCCUACGGGAGGCAGCAGUAGGGAAUCUUCCGCAAUGGGCGAAGGCCUGACGGAGCAACGCCGCGUGAGCGAUGAAGGUCUUCGGAUCGUAAAACUCUGUUAUUAGGGAAGAACAUAUGUGUAAGUAACUGUGCACAUCUUGACGGUACCUAAUCAGAAAGCCACGGCUAACUACGUG
rnacentral:rRNA from 1 species